rnacentral:rRNA from 1 species
GAGUUUGAUCAUGGCUCAGGAUGAACGCUAGCGACAGGCUUAACACAUGCAAGUCGAGGGGCAUCACGAAUUAGCAAUAGUUUGGUGGCGACCGGCGCACGGGUGCGUAACACGUAUACAACCUACCUUUAAUAGAGGGAUAACCUGGAGAAAUUCGGACUAAUACCUCAUAGUAAGAUAUUUAGGCAUCUGGAUAUUUUUAAAGAUUUAUCGAUUAGAGAUGGGUAUGCGUAGGAUUAGCUAGUUGGUAAGGUAACGGCUUACCAAGGCUACGAUCCUUAGGGGUUCUGAGAGGAAGGUCCCCCACACUGGUACUGAGACACGGACCAGACUCCUACGGGAGGCAGCAGUGAGGAAUAUUGGUCAAUGGGCGAGAGCCUGAACCAGCCAAGUCGCGUGAAGGAAGACAGCCUUAUGGGUUGUAAACUUCUUUUGUACAGGGGUAAAAGGUUUCUACGUGUAGGG